CACAAUUAAAAUAUGAAGGCCGUUCAGCCGGCUGGAUUAUUUUAUUCACCCUUGUCUUUUGCGCACUUGUUGUUUCCCUGGGCGGGUUCGCUCGCCACCAGGACCACAAUCAUAAACCUUUUUUAUGCAGUGCAAUCAGCGUCAGUAUAACAAAUGUAAAUCAUUUA
rnacentral:misc_RNA from 1 species